GAAAAGGAAAGAGAGAAGAAGACAGAGAGAGAAAGGAAGAGAGAAAGAUUUCACCGGUCCUGGGUCCAGCGUUGGUUCAGUCAGCUGAGGUGUCCAGGCAGCCGAGGGGUCCAGCUCCAGUGGGCUUGCGCAUGUGUGGCUUCAUUUCA